rnacentral:rRNA from 1 species
CUACGGGUGGCAGCAGCUGCGAAUUUUUUACAAUGCGCGAAAGCGUGAUAAAGCGAGCCAAAGUGAUUAUCUUUUAGAUAUUCUUUUCUUCAGUGUAAAAAACUGGAGGAAUAAGGACUGGGAAAGACCGGUGCCAGCCGCCGCGGUAAUACCGGCAGUUCGAGUGGCAUCCACUAUUAUUGGGUCUAAAACAUCCGUAGCUUGUUUAUUAAGUCUUUUGUGAAAUCUUAUGUCUCAAGCAUAAGGCUUGCAGAAGAUACUGGUAGACUAGAGACCGGUAGACGUAAGGAGUACGGACAAGGUAGUGGUAAAAUACGUUAAUCUUGUUUGGACUAACAAUUAGCGAAGGCACCUUACGAGGACGGAUCUGACAGUGAGGGAUGAAGGCCAGGGGCGCAAAACGGAUUAGAUACCCUCGUAGUC